rnacentral:sRNA from 1 species
UUUGGUGCUUUCAUUGAGAGGAAAAAGAAACGAUGGCUC